rnacentral:lncRNA from 1 species
GAAUGUAGUUGACACAUUCCUCCUUCUGUUUUCUUUUUAUUCCAUUGACUCUUCCCUUUGUAACCUGAAAAUGUCUUUUUCUUGAUUUCUUUUCCUCUUUUCCUUACAAAGACUUUCACUCACCUCCAACUUGUCAAAAACUUCUCUAUGAUGACUUUCACUGGGCUAUUGUGGGUUUUUUUUUUUUGCAAUGUAACUUAACAAAUU